rnacentral:lncRNA from 1 species
GAUGAUGUCGGUUUACUCCGGUUAACCGGUUAUGUUCUCAUCAUAUUAAGUAAGUGGGUGUACAAGAUUAAACUACUACACUAACGUAUGGGAGUUUGAAUGGUAAAAACUAGAAAGCUUGUUUUGUUUUUUUGUUUUUUUGUUUUUUGUCUUCGAAAGCUUGUUUUGUUAUGAAGGGCUUAUUUGGAUUAAAUCCUAUAUUCGAAAAAUUUUAAUCGAUCUGAACCUUUAAUUUUG